AGAGUUUGAUCAUGGCUCAGGAUGAACGCUAGCGGCAGGCUUAACACAUGCAAGUCGAGGGGUAGAGUUCUUCGGAACUUGAGACCGGCGCACGGGUGCGUAACGUGUAUGCAAUCUACCUUUUACAGAGGGAUAGCCCAGAGAAAUUUGGAUUAAUACCUCAUAGUAUAUAGCCCUGGCAUCAGGAUUAUAUUAAAGUCACAACGGUAAAAGAUGAGCAUGCGUCCCAUUAGCUAGUUGGUAAGGUAACGGCUUAUCAAGGCUACGAUGGGUAGGGGUCCUGAGAGGGAGAUCCCCCACACUGGUACUGAGACACGGACCAGACUCCUACGGGAGGCAGCAGUGAGGAAUAUUGGACAAUGGGCGCAAGCCUGAUCCAGCCAUGCCGCGUGCAGGAUGACGGUCCUAUGGAUUGUAAACUGCUUUUAUACGAGAAGAAACACUCCAACGUGUUGGAGCUUGACGGUAUCGUAAGAAUAAGGAUCGGCUAACUCCGUGCCAGCAGCCGCGGUAAUACGGAGGAUCCAAGCGUUAUCCGGAAUCAUUGGGUUUAAAGGGUCCGUAGGCGGUUUAAUAAGUCAGUGGUGAAAGCCCAUCGCUCAACGGUGGAACGGCCAUUGAUACUGUUAAACUUGAAUUAUUAGGAAGUAACUAGAAUAUGUAGUGUAGCGGUGAAAUGCUUAGAGAUUACAUGGAAUACCAAUUGCGAAGGCAGGUUACUACUAAUGGAUUGACGCUGAUGGACGAAAGCGUGGGUAGCGAACAGGAUUAGAUACCCUAGUAGUCC
rnacentral:rRNA from 1 species